rnacentral:tRNA from 1 species
GCCGAGAUAAGCUCAGUUGGUAGAGCAACGGACUGAAAGUCCUCGUGUCACCAGUUCAAAUCUGGUUCUUGCA